UCUUCCUUCAGAGCAGCAACUUUCUGUGACGUGCAAGUGCAUUUAAAGCUGCUCACCUUGGUUAUACAGAAACCCAGAAGUGCCGAGAAUGGACCAGUCACUUCAGAGUCCCCAGGUGCUUUGCAAAAUUUAAUCCAGCUCCUGCCCCGCGGGGAGAUGCUCCCGCGUCCCAGGGAGAGGCACCGGCAGGUGGUGCUGCAAGACACCGAGUCUCGCAGCGCGAGCCGCGCAGCACGGCCCGGAGGCACCCGGUGCUGCCCGCGCUCCCUGGGGCGCAGCAGUGGCGCCCUGAGGCGUGGCGGGCGCUGAGGGCAUUUGGCGGGAAGUUGCGCGCCUCUUGUGUGAGGGGGCUCUCGGGGCUCACAGCCCUCACCGUGCCAAGGGGUUCGGCCCUUCGGCAGCGCGGGUUUCAAUUUGAGUUUGCCCCUUAGAGAGGGCACCCUCAGCGCCAGCUCACCUCCAUCCCCGUGGUAUUGUUCCUGGCGGGUUUGUGCCCAGAGUCGGAGUGGAGAAAUUGAAGGCAACAUUCAAAGAAGCCUAAUGGAGAAAUGUAGGAGAAGAUUAAGUAAACGACUCUAAGUAUUGACAAUGUCCUUCUAUCUCAAGACUCUCCAACCCCGUGAAACCAGCUUGCAUCAUACCAAAUAACAAUAAAAAGCUGUGAAAUAAGUUGACCUGAAAAUCAUGGAUCAAUGCACUUGGAAGAAAAUUGAAUUUGGAGUGGGGAAAAAUGGAGAAAGAAAAAGGUGGCUGAAUUGAUAAAGGAAAACAUGUUGACACUCCUUACUAAACAUGCAUUUAACUGCCAACAAAGGGAAUGCUAAAUAAAUAUCAAGGUCUAACCAAGCACCACUGGUUAGAUUUAUUUAUUUUUGUGUGUUGUGUUUUUUUCUUCUUUCCUCAGUGUUUUUGUUAAUUAUAAGCUGUGACAUCAGGAAUAUUUGAUUUGUUCAAAAGAUGUGUGGUUUUCUGGGUGGUGGGUAUAAAGUAACUGACAUUAUACAGAGGUGAAGUGUCCUA